CGUUCCAUGGCCGAACUGAUCAAGGCACCGUCGAUUAGAGGCGAAGAUGCGGGUUCGAGUCCCGGUGGAACGG
rnacentral:tRNA from 1 species